rnacentral:rRNA from 1 species
GGAUUAGAUACCCUGGUAGUCCUAGCCGUAAACGAUGGACACUUGGUUUUGGGGGCCCUGAUGCCCUCGGGACUGGAGCUAAUGCAUUAAGUGUCCCGCCUGGGGAGUAUGGUCGCAAGGCUAAAACUCAAAGGAAUUGACGGGGGCUCACACAAGCGGUGGAGCAUGUUGUUUAAUUCGAAGCAACGCGAAGAACCUUACCAGGGCUUGACAUGCAGGAAGUAGAACCCCGAAACGGGAACCACCGGUAUCCAAUCCGGAACCUGCACAGGUGCUGCAUGGCUGUCGUCAGCUCGUGCCG